rnacentral:rRNA from 1 species
UACGUAGGGGGCUAGCGUUGUCCGGAAUCAUUGGGCGUAAAGAGCGUGUAGGCGGCCCGGUAAGUCCGCUGUGAAAGUCGGGGGCUCAACCCUCGAAUGCCGGUGGAUACUGUCGGGCUAGAGUGCGGAAGAGGCGAGUGGAAUUCCUGGUGUAGCGGUGAAAUGCGUAGAUAUCUGGAGGAACACCGGUGGCGAAGGCGGCAUCCUGGACCGACACUGACGCUGAGGAGCGAAAGCCAGGGGAGCAAACGGG